rnacentral:rRNA from 1 species
UCCUACGGGAGGCAGCAGCAGGGAAUAUUGCACAAUGGGCGAAAGCCUGAUGCAGCGACGCCGCGUGAGGGAUGAAGGCCUCCGGGUUGUAAACCUCUUUCAUGAGGGACGAAGCGAAAGUGACGGUACCUCCAGAAGAAGCCCCGGCCAACUACGUGCCAGCAGCCGCGGUAAUACGUAGGGGGCAAGCGUUGUCCGGAUUUAUUGGGCGUAAAGAGCUCGUAGGCGGCUCGGUAAGUCGGCCGUGAAAUCCCGGAGCUCAACUCCGGGAGGCCGGUCGAUACUGCCGUGGCUAGGGUCCGGUAGAGGAGAGUGGAAUUCCCGGUGUAGCGGUGAAAUGCGCAGAUAUCGGGAGGAACACCCGUAGCGAAGGCGGCUCUCUGGGCCGGCACCGACGCUGAGGAGCGAAAGCUAGGGGAGCAAACAGGAUUAGAUACCCUGGUAGUCCUAGCUGUAAACGUUGGGUACUAGGUGUGGCGGAUUGAUUGAUGUCUGCUGUGCCGUAGCAAACGCAUUAAGUACCCCGCCUGGGGAGUACGGUCGCAAGGCUAGAACUCAAAGGAAUUGACGGGGCCCCGCACAAGCGGCGGAGCAUGCGGCUCAAUUCGAUGAAACCCGAAGAACCUCACCUGGACUUGACAUCACGGGAAAAGCCGUGGAAACACGGUGUGCGAAAGCGUCCGAGACAGGUGGUGCAUGGCUGUCGUCAGCUCGUGUCGUGAGAUGUUGGGUUAAGUCCCGCAACGAGCGCAACCCCUGUCCUAUGUUGCCAGCGGAUAAUGCCGGGGACUCAUAGGAGACUGCCGGGGACAACUCGGAGGAAGGCGGGGAUGACGUCAAGUCAUCAUGCCCCUAUGUCCAGGCUGCACGCAUGCUACAAUGGCGAGUACAACGGGUCGCGAUCCCGCGAGGGGGAGCCAAUCCCUUAAAACUCGUCUCAGUUCGGAUUGGAGUCUGCAACUCGACUCCAUGAAGCCGGAGUCGCUAGUAAUCGCGGAUCAGCUAUGCCGCGGUGAAUACGUUCUCGGGCCUUGUACACACCGCCAUCGGAUCCCCGGG